GUGUAAAGGGCGUGUAGGCGGAGAUGCAAGUUGGGAGUGAAAUCCCGGGGCUCAACCCCGGAACUGCUUUCAAAACUGUAUCCCUUGAGUGUCGGAGAGGCAAGCGGAAUUCCUAGUGUAGCGGUGAAAUGCGUAGAUAUUAGGAGGAACACCAGUGGCGAAGGCGGCUUGCUGGACGAUAACUGACGCUGAGGCGCGAAAGCGUGGGGAGCAAACAGGAUUAGAUACCCUGGUAGUCCACGCUGUAAACGAUGAAUACUAGGUGUGGGAGGACUGACCCCUUCCGUGCCGCAGUUAACACAAUAAGUAUUCCACCUGGGGAGUACGACCGCAAGGUUGAAACUCAAAGGAAUUGACGGGGGCCCGCACAAGCAGUGGAUUAUGUGGUUUAAUUCGACGCAACCCGAAGAACCUUACCAGGGUUUGACAUCCAACUAACGAAGUAGAGAUACAUUAGGUGCCCUUCGGGGAAAGUUGAGACAGGUGGUGCAUGGUUGUCGUCAGCUCGUGUCGUGAGAUGUUGGGUUAAGUCCCGCAACGAGCGCAACCCCUAUUGUUAGUUGCUACGCAAGAGCACUCUAGCGAGACUGCCGUUGACAAAACGGAGGAAGGCGGGGACGACGUCAAAUCAUCAUGCCCCUUAUAUCCUGGGCUACACACGUAAUACAAUGGUGGUAAACAGAGGGAAGCAAUGCAGCGAUGCGGAGCAAAUCCCUAAAAGCCAUCUCAGUUCGGAUUGCAGGCUGCAACUCGCCUGCAUGAAGCUGGAAUUGCUAGUAAUCGCGGAUCA
rnacentral:rRNA from 1 species